AUUGAACGCUGGCGGCAGGCUUAACACAUGCAAGUCGAGCGAGGGGCGGAGGGGUGAGUAAUGCUUGGGAAAUGGCCUGAUGGAGGGGGAUACCUACUGGAAAGGGUAGCAAAUACCGCAUACAAUCAGAUGUGCCAAGAUGGGAUUAGCUAGUAGGUGGGGUAAUGGCUCACCUAGGCGACGAUCCCUAGCUGGUCUGAGAGGAUGACCAGCCACACUGGAACUGAGACACGGUCCAGACUCCUACGGGAGGCAGCAGUGGGGAAUAUUGCACAAUGGGCGCAAGCCUGAUGCAGCCAUGCCGCGUGUGUGAAGAAGGCCUUCGGGUUGUAAAGCACUUUCAGCGAGGAGGCGUUACUCGCAGAAGAAGCACCGGCUAACUCCGUGCCAGCAGCCGCGGUAAUAC
rnacentral:rRNA from 1 species